rnacentral:rRNA from 1 species
ACGGCCAUACCACAUUGAAAACACCGUUUCUCGUCCGAUCACCGAAGUUAAGUAAUGUCAGGCCUGGUCAGUACUUGGGAGGGUGACUACCUGGUGCUGAAGGCA